AGUCUGUGAAUGUGUGAACAGCCGGGUUGUGCCAGUUUUGUGACAUGUCAUGUCAUGAUGUGCCAGUUUUUUCAGCUAUUAAAGAGUGUGCUCGAUCAGCUUAAAUUCAGUGAAAAUCUAUUUAAAAAGUGGUUUCCCUAGUGAUUUCGUCAAGGAUUCUUGUAAGGAAGUGAGUGUAUCCUGAGGAAAUGUUCUUUUUAUCGUUAGGAGCUCCUUCUACAAUCUCCUUCAGCACAACUUCAUCGAACAAUUUGGGCCAGUUUCUUCAAGGAUUUCCUGCAAAAUUCGGGAAUAUCAGUGUAGGUAGCACUGGUGAUGAUGCAGGUGGUGGAAGUGCCUCUCAUUUGAGCUCCAGACAACAGCAAGCAGCCCGUGGAACAAGCAAUCCCCCAAAGUUGGACAUCUUUUUCAUUGACCUUUUGACAGAAAAUGACAUCGAAAUAGACGAGCUACUGCAUAUGUAUGAUUUGGAUGCGCUAUCUUAAUAAAUGCACCUAAUAAAUUGCGCAUACAAUUUAAAAUGGAAUUAAAAUUAUGGAGAAAGAGUUUCCGUGACUAUCUCGUAAUACAUCGUGGCAUUGCAGAGACGAGUAUCCUGAUAUGAAAAACUGCAAUUUCAUACUGCUUUUCCAUGGAUUGCUUAAACCAGACCAGGAUAUGGAGGAAGGCAAGUUAUUCAAAUGUACAAUCAAAGACUGUUAGGAAAGCAUGGUAAUCAUCAUAGACAGUUAUUGAGUUAAAUGUUCCGGCGAAAAUAUUGUGUUCUUACAUGAAUUAAUACAGUGAAUUAAUAAAAAUAAUAUCAAUACAUUACCAAAGAAUUAAAUCUUUUGAUCAAUUGAAGUUCGAAAAGAAGAAAAACAAGCUACAAAGAAAGAUACUGAUAGAAAAGGGCAGACGCCUACCACCAAAACUUCUGAGAUCAAAUUAAUAUUGCUACUAAAAAUUGAGAAAAAAUAAAUGAGCAGUAAAAAGUUGAAAGUGAUCAGUACAAAAUUAAAUUUAAUCAAAACAAAAAUUCGAAAUGAUCAAUAAAAAUAUAAAAUUUUGUCAAUAAAAAGUAAAAUUUUGUCAGUAAAAAGUUAAAUUUGGUCAGUUAAAUCUUCGGAUCGAUCAGUAGAAAUAUUCGAGUUAAACAGUAAAAAAUACUGAAUGAUUAGCAAAAACUUAAAAGUGGUCAGUGAAAAGAAAAUAUGAUCAGAAAAAAAAAUAAAAAUGAGCAGUAGAAAUAUCCGAGUUGAUCAGCAAAAAAUUAAAACUAAGCAGUCAAAAUUAAAAAGUGUUCAGCAAAAAAUUAAACCUGAUCAGUAGAAAUAUUCGAAAUUAUCAGUGAAAAACUAAACAGUGAUCAGCGAAAAUUCAAAAAUGAGCACUAGAAAAUAAAAAGUGGUCAAUAAAAAAAUAAAAGUGUGCAGUAAAAAAUAAAAUGUGGUCAGCAACAAAUAAAAAGUGGUCAGCAAAAAAAAUUAAAAGUGGUCAGUAAUCAAGAAAUCGCACCUCAAUAAGCUGAUUAGGCUUAUCAUUGGCUCCUUUUACUGACGACAUUUAUUUUCUACUGCUCAUUUUAUUUUUUUUUGCUUUUUUUUACUGACCAAUUUUUUUUACUGACCAGUUUAAUUUAUUACUGACCAGAAUGAAUAUUUUUUCUGUCCAUUUGUAAUAUUUGCUGCUCAUUUUUCAAUUUUAGUUGAUCGUUUCUUAUUUUUUACUGGUCAUACUUAAUUAUUUUACUGACCACUUCAUUUUUACUGGCCAGUUUUUAGUUUUUACUAAUAACUUUUCAUUUUCUAUUUUUAAUUAACUUUUUUUUAAUUUUUCACUGAUCAACUAGAAUAUUUCUACUGCUCAUUUUGAAUUUCUUUCUCAUCAGUUUUUAUUUUCUACUAUUCAUUUUUAAUUUUUUGCUGUAUUUUUUUUAAGUCUUUUGUUGCUCAUUUGUAAUUUUUUACUGAUCAAUUUGAAUAUUUUUUCUGCUCAUUUUUAAUAUUUUACUGCUCGUUUUUAAUUUUUUUACUGUUUUUUUUUUUAAUUUCUUACUGAUCAUCUUUUACAUUUCACUGAUCACGUUUUACUUUUUAUUAACCACUUUUCUCAUUUUUUGCUGACCGCUUUUAAUAAAACUGCUCUUUUUUAAAUUUUUCACUGCCUUUUUUUACUUUUUACAGCCCUUUUUUUAAUUUUUUACUGACGAUUUCUUUAAAUUUUACAUAUCAUUUCGAUUUUUUUGCUGACCAUAUUUGACUUUUUACUGCUCGUUUAUUCAAUGCCCUAAAAUUUAUCCUUUAAUGUUUUGUGAUUAUUCUAGAAAAUCCUAAAAUUUAGUUUUCAGUUUCUAAAACAAACCGAGCAGAUUUCUAAGAAUUGAUACUGCAAAAUCUCUAAAAUCAAUCCGAGAAUUAUGAAAAUUAAAUAUUCUGUUAAUAAAAUCAACUUAAAGCAAUCUUGAAUUGAUUUUGGAAAAUUUAUAAAUUGAUCCAAAUAAAUUAAUAAAAUCAAUCCGAAAAUUUCUAAAAAUAAGUGAACAGUUUCUAAAUUCAAAACUUUUUGAAAUGAUUCCAUAUAAUUUCUAAAAUCAAUCCGAAAAUUUCUAAAAAUAAGUAUAUAGUUUCUAAAUUCAACCCGAAAGGUUUCUAAAAUUGAUCCUAUACAAUUUCUAAAAUCAAUCCGAAAAUUUCUGAAAAUAAGUAUAUAGUUUCUAUAUUCAAUCCGGGAGGCUUCUAGAAUUGAUCCUAUGUAAUUUCUAAAAUCAAUCCGAAAAUUUCUAAAAAUAAGUAUGUAGUUUCUAAGUUCAACCCGAGAGAGUUCUAGAAUUGAUUCUAUGUAUUUUCUAAAAUCAAUCCUAAAAUUUCUAAAAAUAAGUAUGUAGUUUCUAAGUUCAACCCGAGAGAGUUCUAGAAUUGAUCCUAUGUAAUUUCUAAAAUCAAUCCGAAAAUUUCUAAAAAUAAGUAUGUAGUUUCUAAGUUCAACCCGAGAGAGUUCUAGAAUUGAUCCUAUGUAAUUUCUAAAAUCAAUCCGAAAAUUUCUAAAAAUAAGUAUGUAGUUUCUAAAUUCAACCCGAGAGGGUUCUAGAAUUGAUCCCAUGCUAUUUCUAAAAUCAAUCCUAAAAUUUCUAAAAAUAAGUAUAAUAGUUUCUAAAUACAACCCAGGAGAUUUCUAAAAUUGAUCCCAUGCAAUUUCUAAAAUCAAUGUAAAAAUUUCUGAAAAUAAGUAUUAGUUUCUAAAUUCAACCCAGGAGGUUUCUCGAAUCGAUCCCAUGAAAUUUCUAAAAUCAACCCGAAAAUUUCUGAAAAUAAGUAUAUAGUUUCUAAAUUCAACCCAAGAGGUUUCUGGAAUUGA